rnacentral:rRNA from 1 species
AAACGUAGGUGGCAAGCGUUGUCCGGAAUUAUUGGGCGUAAAGGGCGUGCAGGCGGUUUUAUAAGUCUGAUGUGAAAGCUCGCGGCUUAACCGCGAAGUGUCAUUGGAAACUGUAGGACUUGAGUACAGAAGAGGAGAGUGGAAUUCCACGUGUAGCGGUGAAAUGCGUAGAGAUGUGGAGGAACACCAGUGGCGAAGGCGGCUCUCUGGUCUGUGACUGACGCUGAGGCGCGAAAGCGUGGGUAGCAAACAGGAUUAGAUACCCUGGUAGUCCACGCCGUAAACGAUGAGUGCUAGGUGUUGGGGGUUUCCACCCUCAGUGCUGAAGUCAACACAAUAAGCACUCCGCCUGGGGAGUACGACCGCAAGGUUGAA